rnacentral:rRNA from 1 species
GACGGAGGAUGCAAGUGUUAUCCGGAAUCACUGGGCGUAAAGCGUCUGUAGGUGGUCAAAUAAGUCAACUGUUAAAUCUUGAGGCUCAACCUCAAAAUCGCAGUCGAAACUAUUAGACUAGAGUAUAGUAGGGGUAAAGGGAAUUUCCAGUGGGAGCGGUGAAAUGCGUAGAGAUUGGAAAGAACACCGAUGGCGAAGGCACUUUACUGGGCUAUUACUAACACUCAGAGACGAAAGC